AACGUAGGUACCGAGCGUUAUCCGGAUUUACUGGGCGUAAAGCGCGUGCAGGCGGUUUGACAAGUCGGGUGUGAAAUCUCUCGGCUCAACCGGGAGAGGUUGUCCGAUACUGUCAGACUUGAGGGCAGUAGAGGGUGGUGGAAUUCCGGGUGUAGUGGUGAAAUGCGUAGAGAUCGGGAGGAAUACCGGUGGCGAACGCGACUCUCUGGACGGCAACUGACGCUGAGGCACGAAAGCGUGGGGAGCAAACAGG
rnacentral:rRNA from 1 species